GCUGCCGAGGGUGAUGGACGGUUAGUAUUACGCUGAGAGUGGAGAGGCAGUGUAAAAUCCAGGCAUUUCCUCCCUCUUCUUGUUGGAAGGUCUCUGAAAAAGACAAACGCGUAGCCUAGUUUCUGAAGCAGCGCGUGCACUUCUCAUUCUCAGGUAGCUCGGUCUGGAAACGAGUUUAUCCAUCAAAAACGUCUACAGAGCUGUAACCAGCAACUCAUGUUGUAAUUGUAAGGAUUCUAGACAUCGGAUUUGCUGGCGUCCAAAAACAAAAAAAUCAGUCACAGGAGGGGGGCACAGAGCAGAGGACCCCCAACAGUGUCUGCUGCUCCCUGAAGCUGUCCAAGUGGAUGCUGGCCGGAGGCGCAGUCCUUGCAGACGUGACACAGUGAGGAGAUUGAUGUGGGCGCCACAGCUGCCAGAUCCUCUGUCUUCAGCUUCCUCGUUCUGGCUGUGCCCCUGGCCAUGGAGACUGGCCAUCCGCUGCUGGCUACCCACAGCUCUUAGAGGAGGCUGAUGAAGAACUCUGCAACUUGGUGGGGCCUCAGAAAGGAAGGAUAUACAUAAAAAGAUUUUCAUGCACAGCUGGGAACAGAAGUUUAUCCUAAAAAGUUUACCUGUGG
rnacentral:lncRNA from 1 species